rnacentral:rRNA from 1 species
UGCUUUACACAUGCAACUCGAACGGCAGCGCGGGGGCAACCCUGGCGGCGAGUGGCGAACGGGUGAGUAACGUAUCGGAACAUGUCCGGGAAUGGGGGAUAACGCAGCGAAAGUUGCGCUAAUACCGCAUAUGCCCCGAGGGGGAAAGGUGGGGAUCGCAAGACCUAUCGUUUUCGGAGUGGCCGAUAUCGGAUUAGCUAGUUGGUGGGGUAAAGGCCCACCAAGGCUGCGAUCCGUAGCUGGUCUGAGAGGACGACCAGCCACACUGGGACUGAGACACGGCCCAGACUCCUACGGGAGGCAGCAGUGGGGAAUUUUGGACAAUGGGGGCAACCCUGAUCCUUCCAUGCCGCGUGAGUGAAGAAGGCCUUCGGGUUGUAAAGCUC